rnacentral:rRNA from 1 species
GACGAACGCUGGCGGCGUGCUUAACACAUGCAAGUCGAACGGAAAGGCCCUGCUUUUGUGGGGUUCUCGAGUGGCGAACGGGUGAGUAACACGUGAGUAACCUGUCCUUGACUUUGGGAUAACUUCAGGAAACUGGGGCUAAUACCGGAUAGGAGCUCCUGCUGCAUGGUGGGGGUUGGAAAGUUUCGGCGGUUGGGGAUGGACUCGCGGCUUAUCAGCUUGUUAGUGGGGUAGUGGCUUACCAAGGUUUUGACGGGUAGGCGGCCUGAGAGGGUGACCAGCCACAUUGGGACUGAGAUACGGCGCAGUAUGCAACGGGAGGCAACAGUGGGGAAUAUUACACAGUAGGCGGAAGCCUGAUGCAGAGGCGCUGCGUGCGGGAUGACGGCCUUCGGGUUGUGAACAGCUUUCGCCUGUGACGAAGCGUGAGUGACGGUAAUGGGUCAGAAAGCACCGGCUAACUACGUG